UGGAGCUCAAACAGGACAUAGACAAGGAUAAACUUUUGUAAUGUUCAAAAUAAAGUAGCCCCCCAGGGCACAUCCAAGUUGGCGGAACAAUCACAUUGGGGGGCUCUGGAACCAAGUGUGGGGAGUUCGAUUCCUGGUUGGAGCAGCUUGGUGAUGUAAUAACCAGAGGAAGGGUUGGAGCAGCUUGGUGAUGUAAUAACCAUGGAGGAGGGUCCCUUUGGGGAAGGAGUAAAAGCCAUGUGGGAACCUGGGAACCAACAAGGGCACAACCUGCGAUUUACCUCCACUAGUCACUGAGGGGCCGGGGACUAGAGGUCCAGGAUUUAGUCCGGCUAAGGUGGGACACCUGGGUUAUCAAAAAAAAAAUGUUCAAAAUAAAGUAGAAUAUUGUAGGGGCAGCCGUCAUUGUAAUUUCAAGUAACA
rnacentral:lncRNA from 1 species